UUCCAAGGAGAACUGGAUUACAUUCCUCCCACACAGGCUGGAGGGAGAUGGAGUUCAUUGCUCCGGGGAGAGAAUUAUGACAACACUUAACCGCUGUGACCCGUACUGCUCUGCGCUGCUCCCAGCCUCUCCAUGCCAUUGGCCAUUAGAAGUGCGGCUUCCACGGAGAGGCGAGUGCCGACCCUGUGAGAUGCGUGGCAUGUGUUUGGAAGGCGGCCUGCAUUCCAGGAGAGCAUUGGUUCUGGAGUUAUGUCACAGACCCUUCUGCCAAGGGAAAUAAGGUCGUUUUAUGCUUUUGAACUGAAUGAAUGAGAAAGUUAAGAAGUGUGCUUGGGAUUUGAUUCUCAUCACCCCAUGGAAUGAAGCCAAGCUGCAGAAGCACACAAAUGGCUGAAUUUGGAUAACUUUAUCCCAGGAGAAGGUAGCAAAAGGUCUUUUGGUGAAUGCAGUGCAAAAGCUGACUAAAUAAAUACAGUGGAAGUGACCUCUGAGUCUAGGCCUUACGAGACCAGACAGCUUGGACCCCUGAGCCUACCAGGCUCCGAGGAAGCCCCGUCCAGUGCACCAAAGGGUAAGAGCUCGUGUGGAGGAGAACCCAGGCACUUCAGUCAGCCAGCCAGCACCCAAUUCCAGACACACAAAUGAGGUCAUUUGAGACUCUCCAGUCCCAGGAGACCUAUCAUGUGACAGCAGGUACAGGAGUGAGCCCCUGCAAGAUCAGCAGAAGAAUCAUGAGAAAUAAUAAGUUGCUGUGUGAAGCUACUGAGGGGUUGGGUGUUUUAUUAAGCUCAAGGUAUAAGGACGACGGCUGCUGGAUACCUUGAUUUUCUUUGGCGAAGUCUCCUCUGCUCAGAUUGGUCUUGUUGGGGCAGACAUUCAUUGUCACCACCAUUCUAGCCAGUCACCUAGUGCAUUCUCCUGCAGGGUGGAAGUCAUCCAUUCAGGGACAUCCAGAUGGGACAAGCUGGCCCAGUGUGCAAUGUGAUUUGUCGUGCCAAUGAUGCAGAAGAAGCUCCCCCUCCCCCUCCCGCUUUAGUAUCUCAAGUUGUAAAGGCUACAACAUUUUCAGGCCAAGUUCAACUUCCAACUAUACAGAAAAUUAGGACCGAAAGAUGCAACAAGAGCAACCGAACCCUGGAGACAGCAUUUGAGCUUUCAGAAAUAGUCAAACUAGAAUCCGAUAACCCCACAGACUGCCCCGUCACGUAGCAAAUGCAUUCUUCUUUGAUUUAAGUGGAAGGAAAUGGAAUUGAGCAUCUGUUUCUUACCCAAUAAAUAAAGUAGCCACACCCUGUCUCCUGGAGCAGCUCUUUGCUCUUGGAUAAACCUGCCUUCUUUUCUUCUUUGGCCUUGCC